rnacentral:rRNA from 1 species
ACUUGGUCUUAUGAAUGUAGCGUCGGACAGGUGAGUAGCACGUGUGUAACCCGCCCUUAUCACUGGGAAUACUCCGGGAAACCGGGGCUUAUACCCGAUAACAUUUUGAACCGCAUGGCUCGAAAUUGUCAGGCCGCUUCCGCUGUCACGUAUGGAUGGACCCUCAUCUCAUUAGCUAGUUGGUGACGCAACGGCUCAACAAUGCAACGAUGCUCAGACAACCUGAUAGGGCGAUCUGCCACUCUGACACUGACACAACGCCCACACUCCUACGGGAGGCAGCAUUAUGGAAUCUUCCCCAAUGCACGAAACUCUGACAGAGCAACGCCGCGUGAGUGAUUAAGGCUUUCGGGUCCUAUUGCUCUGUUGUAAGGGAAGAACGAUUGCUACCUGAAGAAACUGGCGCCUUGACGGAACCUACCCAGAAUGCCUCCGCUACCUACGUGCCAGCAACCCCGGUGAUACAUACGUGGCUCGCAAUUUCCGGAAUUAUUGCGCGUAAAGCUCGCGCAUGUGGUUUCUUAUGUCUGAUGUGAACUCCCACGGCUC